UACGUAGGGUGCGAGCGUUGUCCGGAAUUAUUGGGCGUAAAGAGCUCGUAGGCGGUUUGUCGCGUCGACUGUGAAAACCCGAGGCUUAACCUCGGGCCUGCAGUCGAUACGGGCAGACUAGAGUUCGGUAGGGGAGACUGGAAUUCCUGGUGUAGCGGUGAAAUGCGCAGAUAUCAGGAGGAACACCGGUGGCGAAGGCGGGUCUCUGGGCCGAUACUGACGCUGAGGCACGAAAGCUAGGGGAGCAAACAGG
rnacentral:rRNA from 1 species